rnacentral:rRNA from 1 species
GAUGAACGCUGGCGGCGUGCCUAAUACAUGCAAGUCGAGCGAACAGAUAAGGAGCUUGCUCCUUUGACGUUAGCGGCGGACGGGUGAGUAACACGUGGGUAACCUACCUAUAAGACUGGGAUAACUUCGGGAAACCGGAGUUAAUACCGGAUAACAUUUGGAACCGCAUGGUUCUAAAGUGAAAGAUGGUUUUGCUAUCACUUAUAGAUGGACCCGCGCCGUAUUAACUAGUUGGUAAGGUAACGGCUUACCAAGGCAUCGAUACGUAGCCGACCUGAGAGGGUGAUCGGCCACACUGGAACUGAGACACGGUCCAGACUCCUACGGGAGGCAGCAGUAGGGAAUCUUCCGCAAUGGGCGAAAGCCUGACGGAGCAACGCCGCGUGAGUGAUGAAGGGUUUCGGCUCGUAAAACUCUGUUAUUAGGGAAGAACAAACGUGUAAGUAACUGUGCACGUCUUGACGGUACCUAAUCAGAAAGCCACGGCUAACUACGUG